rnacentral:rRNA from 1 species
ACUCCUACGGGAGGCAGCAGUAGGGAAUCUUCCACAAUGGGCGCAAGCCUGAUGGAGCAACACCGCGUGAGUGAAGAAGGGUUUCGGCUCGUAAAGCUCUGUUGUUAAAGAAGAACACGUAUGAGAGUAACUGUUCAUACGUUGACGGUAUUUAACCAGAAAGUCACGGCUAACUACGUGCCAGCAGCCGCGGUAAUACGUAGGUGGCAAGCGUUAUCCGGAUUUAUUGGGCGUAAAGAGAGUGCAGGCGGUUUUCUAAGUCUGAUGUGAAAGCCUUCGGCUUAACCGGAGAAGUGCAUCGGAAACUGGAUAACUUGAGUGCAGAAGAGGGUAGUGGAACUCCAUGUGUAGCGGUGGAAUGCGUAGAUAUAUGGAAGAACACCAGUGGCGAAGGCGGCUACCUGGUCUGCAACUGACGCUGAGACUCGAAAGCAUGGGUAGCGAACAGGAUUAGAUACCCUGGUAGGAUAGGC